AAAAAAAAGAAUAACUCUUUAGUCAAAUUACUAUAUUACCACUCCCCAUUGUGAUCAUGUAAAUCAGGAAGAAUGCCUUGCCUUUCAUUGGGAGAAGAGGCAUUCAGCCAUAAGAAAUUUGUUAACGUGAUCAAAAGCUCAACUUUUUGAAACUAUAGAGAAGAAUUUACACAAUACAUAAAACCAAUAAAACACUUUUAAUACCCAACUCGAUGAAGAGAAACUCAACUCAACCUCAAUCCAAAUCAACUGGAGCCAGCUAUAUGGACCCUUCUCCAUUCUAUGUUUGAAAUACAGUUUCUGUCAGGCAAGCAAUGAUAAAUCCUUAUUGACCACUUACCCCAUGUCAUCCUGGAAUCUGGAUCCACUUCCCAUCUUCUCCACUCCCAUAAAUUAGAUAUGCCCUUAUCUUCUUUGCUGGAGCAUGCCUGUCCAUGCUGGAAAUGGUCAUACUAUUUCAAUCAUCCCUCUCUCAACUUUUCUUUAGUAGGUAUUCCUCAAACUUUCUAAGAACAUGCUCAUUUUUUAUACAAUCAUCCAACAUUUCCAUGCAUCAACUUCAGUACCUUCAUCUAGUGGCUCACUUAUUAUCAACCUAAUAGUCAUUGUCAUAAAUUAAAGUCAAUUAAAUUGCUAUCUAGUAGAACUUCCUCUUCAACUUAGUCAGAAUUUAUGAUCAGAGAAGACACUCCUGCAUUUCUCCAUUUCAACUAUUCCACCUUGAUCCUAUGAGUAACAUCCUCCUAAGUCCACUCCACUCCUCAUCCUUAUAUUACAGAACCUAUCACUUGGCAAAUCUUGUACUCCAUUCCCCUUGCAUGGUUAAAAUAACAAUGCAUAUAUUCCAUUUUACUUCUACUUAACUUUAAACAGUGAAACCAGACUCAAGGGUGUUCUUCUAACAGUCCAGCACCUAGCUAAUCUCAGCUCCAUUUUCACCGAGUACAACUAUUUCAUCAAUCAAAAGCAUCAAUAAGAAAUAUUAACUUAUACAUGCAAUUGACAAUAGAAGUAAUCAUUGAUUAUUUCUUAAUACUUCAAAAAACUGAAAAAAAAGUCCGCAUGCGUCUAAGAUAAGAGCUGCAGAGAUGAGAAUGUUAAGGCGGAUGAGUGGCCAUACUAGACUA
rnacentral:misc_RNA from 1 species